AGGAUUUAUUAACAUUUGUAGAAUAUUAGAAGAUUCCAGUCGUAAGUGGCAUAUUUAUGAUGGCUGAGCACAGUUACUGCUUCAGUGUACGUCUUACUCUUGUCAUCAACACUCCAGAUCCCAGGAGAGUCUGCCCUGUUCAUUCUGUGCCUCGUAAUUGAAGUUUUCUUGUUAAUGGGUGGGACACAAUCCUAAGAUAGGCAAAGUGUAGUACAAAUGACAGAACUGUUGAAAGUUGUUUAGGAAGUAUGUUUUGUGCCAUUGAAGACUGCACGGAGAAAGAGAGCCUUCUAAACUAGCCCUGUUUGCUGUCAACCUAGAAAUGAGCCAACUGUCUUCCAACUGGAUGGUAGCAUGUACGUGUGUUUGACUUUCCCCAUCCUAUUGAAAAAUCACAAGAUGAACAGUUUCAAGAUUCAAAACCCUUGAAAUACUUUCAUGGUUAUUUACCAGAUUGUAAAUGUUUUGAGUGAGCUGUUUUGGAAUAAUAUGAAAAUCAGCAGGUAGGUUAGGUCCCUGCCUUAUUUUCAGUGCUGUGGAUGUGUCUCCGGGAGCUUACAGUACUUCUCAAAAUGCAGCUGUCACUUGGAGCUCAUUUGCUACUCAAACCAUAGACAAAUAGGUGAUGGGAUGACCUUCAGUAUUUUUCUAUUGAACAAAGUUACCAAUUUUUGCCAUUAAACAGAUAAUUAGUUAUGCAAAGU
rnacentral:lncRNA from 1 species